AAAGGGAGACCUGAUUCAGGUAUAAGACGAAAAAAAAGUAGUCCCUACCAAGAAUCAAUCCCAAAAGGUCGGAACGAGGUAUGAGGCUUUCAAACUAGGUUCUGGGUUCAUAAAAGACCUGAAUCAGGAACAAGGGCUAUUAGCUCAGGUGGUUAGAGCGCACCCCUGAUAAGGGUGAGGUCCCUGGUUCGAGUCCAGGAUGGCCCACCUGCACAGGUGGCAAAAACAAGAGAAGCGAGGAAUCAGCACCUUAUCUUAUAUACAUAUAUAAGAGAGAAUGCUGGCUCUGAGUACAGAGUCCAGAGGAACCUUGAAAACUGCAUAGAGCUAGGUGAAAAAGCCAAAAAAGAAGACCGCAAG
rnacentral:tRNA from 1 species